rnacentral:rRNA from 1 species
UACAGAGGGGGCAAGCGUUAUUCGGAAUUAUUGGGCGUAAAGGGCGCGUAGGCGGCGAUUCAAGUGACGGGUGAAAUCCCUCGGCUUAACCGAGGAACUGCCUGUCAGACUGGAUUGCUUGAGGCCGGGAGAGGUGAGUGGAAUUCCCAGUGUAGCGGUGAAAUGCGUAGAUAUUGGGAGGAACACCAGUGGCGAAGGCAGCUCUCUGGGACGGUACUGACGCUGAGACGCGAAAGCGUGGGGAGCGAACAGG